CCCUUAGAUGUCCUGGGCCGCACGCGCGUUACACUGAGUGUCUGAGAUACGAGUCUGCCUGGUCCGGCAAGGUCUAGGUAAUCGCUAAAAGACACAUCAUGCUUGGGAUAGAUUAUUGCAAAUAUUAAUCUUGAACGAGGAAUUCCUAGUAAGCGCAAGUCAACAGCUUGCGUUGAUUACGUCCCUGCCCUUUGUACACACCGCCCGUCGCUACUACUGAUUGGAUGUUUAAGCGAGGUUCUCGAACUGCUAGCGACUUAGCUUCGGUGAGGUCGCAGUGUGGGGAGUGAACCUAGCUUUGGUGUCUAGAGGAAGUAAAAGUCGUAACA
rnacentral:rRNA from 1 species